rnacentral:rRNA from 1 species
UACGGAGGGGGCUAGCGUUAUUCGGAAUUACUGGGCGUAAAGCGCACGUAGGCGGAUCUGCAAGUCAGAGGUGAAAUCCCAGGGCUCAACCUUGGAACUGCCUUCAAUACUGGCGAUCUAGAGUCCGGAAGAGGUGAGUGGAACUCCUAGUGUAGAGGUGGAAUUCGUAGAUAUUAGGAAGAACACCAGUGGCGAAGGCGGCUCACUGGUCCGGUACUGACGCUGAGGUGCGAAAGCGUGGGGAGCAAACAGG